GCGCGGGUAGCCAAGUGGUUAAGGCGGUCGGCUGCAGACCGACUAAUCCUGGGUUCGAAUCCCAGCCCGCGCU
rnacentral:tRNA from 2 species